rnacentral:tRNA from 1 species
GGGGUGCUGGUAUAACGCCAACUACACUGCUUUGUCAAGGCAGAGUUGCAAGUUGAAAUCUUGCGCACCCUU